AUGAAGAACGUAGCAAAAUGCGAUAAGUAAUGUGAAUUGCAGAAUUCAGUGAAUCAUCGAAUCUUUGAACGCACAUUGCGCCCGCUGGUAUUCCGGCGGGCAUGCCUGUUCGAGCGUCAUUUCAACCCUCAAGCCCCCGGGUUUGGUGUUGGGGAUCGGCUCUGCCCUUCUGGGCGGUGCCGCCCCCGAAAUACAUUGGCGGUCUCGCUGCAGCCUCCAUUGCGUAGUAGCUAACACCUCGCAACUGGAACGCGGCGCGGCCAUGCCGUAAAACCCCAACUUCUGAAUGUUGACCUCGGAUCAGGUAGGAAUACCCGCUGAACUUAAGCAUAUCAAUAAGCGGAGGA
rnacentral:misc_RNA from 1 species